GUCGAGGAGCAGGACCAAGCGCCUAGUUACGGAGGCCGAUCUGGGACAAAAUCGACGGACUGGACCACGUGUCUCCUGGUUCUAUGUCCGUUUCGCCUAGCAACAGAUCCUUGUCUCGUUGCUACAGGCGCCCCCAGAAUCCCGUCCGAGCUUCGGCGGAGAGGCAGGUGCCGGAGGUCCUUGGUACGCGGGUCUGGGCGACGCUGGGGUGAGCCCCGGAUGGAGGCAGCGGCCGUGGGGGAAAGAACCUGUGGAAAGCGGCUGCUCCGCGAGGAAAAAUCAGCCCGGGGCAGGUUAAAGAGCCGGCUGGAGAACAAGCUCUCCCCAUCCUCCGUUCCGGUGUCUCAGCAAACGACAGUGGUUCGUGGUCGUACAAGCCUUUUUAUCACUCAAAAGUGACUCUCAAUGGGAGGCUGACAAAUCGCAACCCCAGAAGAGGAGCAAGGCAGAGCAAGUCCCCCAUAAGUCCCACGAGAGGGCGCCCUUCCUGGAGGCGGGAUCCUGACUUCUUGGGACCGCCCAAAGGCCACGUGCCUGCUUCUGGGACAAAGGGGCAGGCUAAAGCCGCCCAGGGCAGUGGAAGAAAAAGACGGGCAGAGCCUUCGUUGCUCUAGAACCUACAGUGCCCACAGUUAGCAAACUUUCCUUCUUGGGCCAACAACCGAGUUGUCCCUUUGGUCUUUCCUUGAUGUAAUUGGUUGAGUUCCCAGAAUUAUACAGCUUAUCUACUAGAUUGAAAACAAUUUUAAGCCUGAGUAAAAAUGGGGGGGAAAUUAAAGAUAAUUCUGUGAUCUUUCACCCCCAAAUGAGGAGAAAACCAGAUGAGUUUCCCAGCCAGCUGCCCCCGCCCCAGUAGCCAUCAUCAAGGUUCUUACGGCCUAGCGCGGACUACCUCCCUCUGCACCCCUGGUAGGGCUUCGCUGGAUUGAGAAGAGGAAAUGGGUGAGCAUUUGCCUCCUCAGGUGCCCUGGCCUGCUGUCUCCCCACUGCAGACCCACCUGGCCAGUGGUCCACCUAGCAGGUCAGCACAGCGAGGACAUCCCGGGGCACCCGGUGGUGGGAGGAGCGCCCUCAGCACAAGCACUGAGUGCCUGCCCACACUGCCGGCAGGAGACACGGUGAGCCCUGGCCUGCCCUGCAUGGUAGCCAGGACCUCUGCCUUCUCAGGACAAAAGCAGGGUCAGAUGCACAGUCUGGACAGAACUUGGAAGCAAAGUUGCGUGAAGCCAUGGCCACUGACGAAGUCCUGGUGUUCUCUGGGAGGGGCAGUGCGUGCAGCACUGAUGUGAAACGGGAGCCUCUUCCAGGGGGAUGGGGGCCGUGUGUGUCUGGCCAUUCUGCCUCCCGUGGGAAUGGAGGUGCGUCUGGGGGCAGGUGCUCAUCUGUCUCAAGUGUGUGACUGUGCUGUUAGGAACCCAGCCCACAGUGUUCUUUCUCUCCUGCAGCCUGCACAGAGGCUCCGUGUGGAGGGGGUCCUCUUCGGGUGCCUGACGGGCUUGGACCUAGGUACCCACGGCAUCAGGGUAGGGGACAUUGGCCUGUAUAUGGGGAGCUCUGGCCCAAGUCCCAGACCUGAGGAGGAAUCCCCUCACUGGCCAGUGCUGCCUGGGACACUUGCUGGCAUCCACCACCCCCGGAGGGGGCCAGGUGACUCUCGGCUGCCUGCUAACUGCAGGUCAGGACGUAAACAGCCACCUGCAGUGACACACGCAGGCCACACGGUCCCUCUUGGCUUCCCUGGGCCUGAUUCCAGGGGCUUAUGGGGACAUGUAGAAGCCAACACCCACUGGGUGGCACCUUCCCCACCCUCUGACCAAGUCUGGCCUGGCCAGGCACUACCAUCUUCUCCCGGGAACCCUGGACCCUAGCCCCUCCCUCCACUUGGCUUGCUCUGGCUCCACAGACAGGAGCCCUUUGUCUCCCGUGCCAUGUCACACAGGCAUGCCAUGGGCUCACGCGCCGCAGGCCUCCACAAAUGUUAAAUACACCCAACCAGUGGGCAGUGGGGGCCCUAGGUGCUGAGGCAGGAAGCCGCAGGAUUCUCGGAGUCUCAUUCUUGAAAAAUGGUAGCAGGGCAGCUCGACUGCAGGUUGCCCCCGCGCACUCACCCCCACCGCACCGAGGAGGCAAACCCGGGCGCAGCCUCUCCGCCCUAAGGGGUCGAGAGGGGGGCUCUACUUCCCAACUGCAGGCCCUGCAGAAAGUCAAACUGCUGUUGAGGGGGAGGUCUUGCCAGCAGAGGGCGCCAAAGCCACAGCCCCCAGCCUAGGCGGCGGCGGGGGGCAGCGCGGCAGAACCGAGUCCCCGUCGGCUUUUCAGCAACUCCGCCCCACACCCCCGAGUCCCCGCCCACGGAAGCCACCGGAGCGCCCCCAAGAGGAGGCGCACGUGGCGCGGUGCUCUGAGUCUUAACACCCGGAGGAGGAGGGGGUCGGCUCCCCUCCCCUUCCCCUGGCUUCAGCAAACGUUGGCCUGCCAUCUGAGCAUUUACAAGGCUGGAGUGUUCUGACAGGGAGUAAAGCACACUGAGGAGAC